UACGAAGGGGGCUAGCGUUGCUCGGAAUUACUGGGCGUAAAGGGCGCGUAGGCGGAUGACUAAGUCGGAGGGUGAAAGCCCCGGGGGCUCAACCUCGGAACUGCCUUUGAUACUGGUCAUCUUGAGUCCGGGAGAGGUGAGUGGAACUCCCGAGUGUAGAGGUGAAAUUCGUAGAUAUUCGGAAGAACACCAGUGGCGAAGGCGGCUCACUGGCCCCGGUACUGACGCCUGGAUGUGCGAAAGCGUGGGGAGCAAACAGG
rnacentral:rRNA from 1 species